rnacentral:lncRNA from 10 species
CUUGAAGUCAGUGAGACCAAGAACCCACCAAUUCCGGACACAAUAGUAUUGAGUGGUGGGUACUUUCCAAGGUUAUUGGGUCAUGAGAGAUCCUCCCUUUGUAAAUGGACUUAAAGCAGUUAUAAAACAAGCUUCCCACAGAAUGAGACAAGCUGCUUUUCCAGGUUCUGCCCUGUGAGGGUACUGUGUUUUUCCCUCCAGAAGAUGCAGCCAUAAGGCGCCAUCUUGGAAGCAGAGAUCAGCCCUCAUCAGACAACUGAAGUUGCCACCACCUUGAUAGCAGACUUCCCAGGCUCCAGAACUUGCCAAGCAUUUCUCCAUUAUGAAAUUUCUACGGAAUUCCAUGAGAAGUCUCCUCUGUAAAAUGAGCCUCCAUACUUCUGCACAGCUGCAAUACCUGGCAACUUCCCUAGCCCUAGGAUGUGAAUACAGCAAACAACAACUCCACUGGCUGUCAAAACCGCGAGCAAGUUCUGGAAAUGGAAGCACGCUGCUGCUCUCACCACAGAAAACGAGGCACACACUGAUUUUAUUACCUGGGUAGUCUCAACUAGCAAGAUGCUCCUAAAAGGACAGGCAGACUAAUGGUUUAUUUCUGGCAUGCCAAGUGCCUUGGUAGAAGAAAUUAAUUUUGUUUUUCUUUUGCUAUCAUCCUUGACUCUCUCAGCAAGGACAAUUAAGCAAUGCUGAUUGAAGAAGUCAUCAUUGUGUGCUUAAAUAUGUUAGGAUCCAGUCAGCAAAGAUGGGCACAAGCAUUCUCUAAGAGCUUUUCUUCCUUUUACUUCCUAGGAGAGCAAUAUGCCAUCUUGUGAACUAAAAGUGCCCCCUGACCGACACCAAAAAUUAAAGACAAAUGUUCUGCAUAUCAACUGCAAUGCAAAUCAUUCUGCUAUCCUCUGGAGUUUGUAAAGAAGAUAAUUCUUACUUCAUUUGCUAUAGGGAGGUGCAUCUUUCUGGCAUCUUCCACAGUACUGUGCUGUCCUGGACUCUGUCCAGAGUCAACAGCUGAGCAGCAUGAUGUAGCCUAUGAUUCAAAGGCCCAGGGCAGAAGGGAAAUAAUUCCCCAAUGCCACUUUGUACUAUC